rnacentral:lncRNA from 1 species
GAGCAGAUAAAGGGUGGAGGGAGAGAGAGAAUUCGAGGCAACUCUGUUGUGGGUAUGUACCACAGACCUCUUAGCUAGUUAGAACAUGUAAAAGACGUUUUUUCCAUACAGAUGACCAAAUUGCCCCAGAAGGACAGUUUCUGCCAGAAGUUUUCUUUUGCUUAAAACAGAUCAUCUGAUACCUUCUUGAUUUGGUGUUUGACAAUUUAAUUUCUUAAAAAGGAGAAAAGAGCAAUAAAUGAUUACUCUGGGAUCUAAUUCUAACCUUCAGUAACUAUUUCCAGAUAUGGAAGUGACAGGAGUCUUGAGGGAAUGUAAUCCUGUUAACAUCAUAGCAACAGAGCAUUGGGUAUCAUCAAAAUGUCUUGUGGCUGUAGGAAAGGAGAUGUCAAAAGGUCAGAGGACAAAUGGAAAUGAUCCCUCAGCCAGAGAAUCUGUAUGCUAUGGUGACCAACGUGGGCAGAGAUAAAAAACAAAAGACAAGUAGAAAAGAUCCCAGUGCUAAGUGAAGGAAGACAUCUGGCCACCAGGUGACGCGGGUUGCUCUCAUAGGAGUCUAGACUUAAAGCACAUGGACAAAGAUGGAAAGAUGACUCUAACCAAGGACG